rnacentral:rRNA from 1 species
AUGUAAAUCAUGAGUUGGAACUGCCGGGGACUUGGGAACGGCCCGACAGUUCGGAGUCUCCUCGAGAUGGGGAGAAUGGAGGAUCCUGACGUUUUAUUUCUUGCUGAGACGAGGUUGACGGAGAGGGAACUGGAUAGCUUUCGGUGGUCACUUGGACUUGCUCACAUGCUUGUGUGGGAUCCAAUUGGAAGGAGUAGGGGCAUUGCUAUGUUUUGGAGAAGAGGGGUGGAUGUCUCUUUGAGAUCAUAUGGACGGAGGCAUGUUGAUGUUGACGUGGCAGGAGAAGGAGGAACUAACUGGAGGCUUACCGGUGUAUACGGCGAGUCGGCUGCAGAACGUAAGAAAGAUACUUGGCGUACAAUGAGGCUUCUCGGCCAACAACACCAAGCCGGACGACCUUGGCUGUGUCUCGGGGACUUUAAUGAAAUUUUGGUUUGUGAUGAGAAAAUGGGGGGUGCUGCACGAUCACAGGCUUGCAUGGACAGAUUCAGAGAAGCGCUGGUAUCUUGUGAUCUCUAUGAUGUGGGUUACGUGGGAGAUAAAUUUACGUGGAGGAACCAUAGUAAGGAGCUACAUUCUUAUAUUUGUGAGAGGUUGGACCGUGCAGCAGCAAACACAUAA